rnacentral:rRNA from 1 species
GAUGAACGCUAGCUACAGGCUUAACACAUGCAAGUCGAGGGGAAACGGCAUUGAGUGCUUGCACUCUUUGGACGUCGACCGGCGCACGGGUGAGUAACGCGUAUCCAACCUUCCCAUUACUGUGGGAUAACCUGCCGAAAGGCAGACUAAUACCGCAUAGUCUUCGAUGACGGCAUCAGAUUUGAAGUAAAGAUUUAUCGGUAAUGGAUGGGGAUGCGUCUGAUUAGCUUGUUGGCGGGGUAACGGCCCACCAAGGCGACGAUCAGUAGGGGUUCUGAGAGGAAGGUCCCCCACAUUGGAACUGAGACACGGUCCAAACUCCUACGGGAGGCAGCAGUGAGGAAUAUUGGUCAAUGGACGGAAGUCUGAACCAGCCAAGUAGCGUGCAGGAUGACGGCCCUAUGGGUUGUAAACUGCUUUUGUAUGGGGAUAAAGUUAGGGACGUGUCCCUAUUUGCAGGUACCAUACGAAUAAGGACCGGCUAAUUCCGUGCCAGCAGCCGCGGUAAUACGGAAGGCCCAGGCGUUAUCCGGAUUUAUUGGGUUUAAAGGGAGCGUAGGCUGGAGAUUAAGUGUGUUGUGAAAUGUAGACGCUCAACGUCUGAAUUGCAGCGCAUACUGGUUUCCUUGAGUACGCACAACGUUGGCGGAAUUCGUCGUGUAGCGGUGAAAUGCUUAGAUAUGACGAAGAACUCCGAUUGCGAAGGCAGCUGACGGGAGCGCAACUGACGCUUAAGCUCGAAGGUGCGGGUAUCAAACAGG